UCAGGAGAUCUAUUGUGCUGCCUGACCCAUAUGCUUCUCUGUGGCAGGAAAAGGACACAGAACUUGAGGAGUCCUUGUCAUUGCCUAUUCCUGAUCUGCGUGUCUGGAUGGCCCAUGCAGGCUUUAUGUUUUAUAAUUUGACUGACCACCAUUUAAGGUGUAAAGCGAAGGCCAGAGUGCAAAAGUAGAAGAUGGCUUUUCAAGCUGUUAAAGAACUCUGACAGUGAAGAAACUGUAUGCCAUCUCCAGUACAGCUUCUCUCUAAACAGAGAGCAAACUUCCAAGAAAAGCUGCCCAGUCUGCUCUGAGGUUGGUUUUGUCAAGACUCUGCUGAACCUCUACUUACUGCACAGCCAUCGUGAAGAGCUUUGAUGUAAGGAUUGUUGUCA